CGUCAAAUCAUCAUGCCCCUUACGUCCUGGGCUGCAAACGUAAUACAAUGGCGUUUAACAGAGGGAUGCGAAGCCGCGAGGUGGAGCAAAUCCCUAAAAGGCGUCUCAGUUCAGAUCGCAGGCUGCAACCCGCCUGCGUGAAGUCGGAAUUGCUAGUAAUCGCGGAUCAGCAUGCCGCGGUGAAUACGUUCCCGGGGCUU
rnacentral:rRNA from 1 species